rnacentral:rRNA from 1 species
AUACGUAGGGUGCAAGCGUUAAUCGGAAUUACUGGGCGUAAAGCGUGCGCAGGCGGUUUUGUAAGACAGUGGUGAAAUCCCCGGGCUCAACCUGGGAACUGCCAUUGUGACUGCAAGGCUGGAGUGCGGCAGAGGGGGAUGGAAUUCCGCGUGGAGCAGUGAAAUGCGUAGAUAUGCGGAGGAACACCGAUGGCGGAGGCAAUCCCCUGGGCCUGCACUGACGCUCAUGCACGAAAGCGUGGGGAGCAAACAGGAUUAGAUACCCUGGUAGUCCACGCCCUAAACGAUGUCAACUGGUUGUUGGGGAUUUAUUUUCUCAGUAACGAAGCUAACGCGUGAAGUUGACCGCCUGGGGAGUACGGCCGCAAGGUUAAAACUCAAAUGAAUCGACGGGG